UAUUGGACAAUGGGGGCAACCCUGAUCCAGCCAUGCCGCGUGGAUGAUGAAGGCCUUAGGGUUGUAAAGUCCUUUUAACGGGGAAGAUAAUGACGGUACCCGUAGAAUAAGCCCCGGCUAACUUCGUGCCAGCAGCCGCGGUAAUACGAAGGGGGCUAGCGUUGCUCGGAAUCACUGGGCGUAAAGCGCACGUAGGCGGAUCUUUAAGUCGGGGGUGAAAUCCUGGAGCUCAACUCCAGAACUGCCUUCGAUACUGGGGAUCUUGAGUCCGGAAGAGGUGAGUGGAACUGCGAGUGUAGAGGUGAAAUUCGUAGAUAUUCGCAAGAACACCAGUGGCGAAGGCGGCUCACUGGUCCGGUACUGACGCUGAGGUGCGAAAGCGUGGGGAGCAAACAGG
rnacentral:rRNA from 1 species